GCGUCGUCGGUGAGGCGAGCAAUCCCCGGAGAAGCAGAAGAAGGAACUGAAGAAAACUCAUCGAUGCAUGUCAAUGGAAACUCUCGCUGCUUCUGCUUCGUCGCCGCCAAUUCUUCCAUUAUCGCCGAGCUCAACUACAGCAAAAACGUUUUUCUUGCUUUUUUUUUUUCUUUUCGAAAAUUAUUUAAUUAUGAGAUACUCCCUCCUUUUUUAACACAGAAAU
rnacentral:lncRNA from 1 species